ensembl:lncRNA
CACCUCCAUCCCGUUGCUAAUGUGACAUGUUAGCGCGUUUAGAGGAUUUAAGCUUCAUGCAGUUUAAAUGCUACAAAAACAAACAGAAAGAAGAAGCUGCAGCAUGUUAGCAGACUGAUAGAGAGCAGAGAGAGAAGAAGAAGAAGAAGAGGAGGAGGAAGAAGAAGAAGAAGAAGAGUGUUUCUGCUGCAGCUGCUGGAGGACAAACUCUGUCAGGACAUUUAGUUCUUUCUCUGAGCUACUCAACAUUCCUCAGUUUCUUCACCAAACACAGAAAGUCAGAUUCUCUGCUCAGAUUUCUUUAUUUUCGACCAUCAUGGCUUCAGCUCUGCUCAGAGGACGAGCAUUAGUCUGUGUCAGAAAAAAGCCAAACCUCAGCCUCCCAUUGACAUCGCCAAACUCCUGGAGACACUCUUCUCCCAGACGAGGCCGGGCACAGCGCCUCCUGCUGCUGCUACCG